UGGGGAAUAUUGCACAAUGGGGGAAACCCUGAUGCAGCGACGCCGCGUGGAGGAAGAAGGUCUUCGGAUUGUAAACUCCUGUUGUUGGGGAAGAUAAUGACGGUACCCAACAAGGAAGUGACGGCUAACUACGUGCCAGCAGCCGCGGUAAAACGUAGGUCACAAGCGUUGUCCGGAAUUACUGGGUGUAAAGGGAGCGCAGGCGGGGGAGCAAGUCAGCUGUGAAAUCUAUGGGCUUAACCCAUAAACUGCAGUUGAAACUGUUCUUCUUGAGUGAAGUAGAGGUUGGCGGAAUUCCGAGUGUAGCGGUGAAAUGCGUAGAUAUUCGGAGGAACACCGGUGGCGAAGGCGGCCAACUGGGCUUUUACUGACGCUGAGGCUCGAAAGUGUGGGGAGCAAACAGGAUUAGAUACCCUGGUAGU
rnacentral:rRNA from 1 species